rnacentral:misc_RNA from 1 species
UAGGGCAAAAAGUGAGGGCACUGUG